AACCUGUAGAGUAGAACAUCUUCUCAAACUCGGGCUGAUGGAAAAAUACAUUACGGUUUCUAAAAGAAAAAAAGAAAUGGAUUUAUACCGAACGACAGAGAUGUUCCCAUGCAUGAGGGACCCAGACGAGCUUCACAGGCUCAUGAAAGUGUGGCCUCAGGUGGUGUCUCCUGGAGUCUUCAGAGGAAAUAUGAAGCACUCACUCAAUGAAAAUCCUAUAAAAGAUUCUCUCUUUAAAAAGUGAAUAGAAGAAAUAAAACACACAGGAGCCAGAGGAAUCCAGAGGUAAGAGCCGAGUCUAAUCUUUAUUUUAUUUAUCCUGUUCUAAAUGUCAGAAUGGUCACAAGCAGAUAAAUGGUAGAAAACUGGAUGGACUAAGAAGAUAGGAGAACUGGGAAUCUGGGGGAGAUAAGAGAACUGUAUGGACCAGAUAAACUUGGAAACUAUGAGAACUAAGAAAGAAAAGCUGGGAGAAGAAGGAAUGUCAAGGAAGUAGGAGUGUUAGGAGAGUGUGGAAAAGUAAGGAAACAGGAAGACCAUGAAAGAAAGGUGUGAAGGAGAACAAGGAAGGUAGGGGAACUAAAGAGCUGGGAAGGUAGGGGAGCUAGAAUAAUUGAUCUUUGGGAACUAGGAAAAUAUGGGACCUAGUUUAACUAGGAAAUUAGAGGAACUAGGAGAACUAUAGACAUUUGUGGGAACCAGUAGAGCAUUGAGAAGUAGAAAAAUCUAGAAAUGUAGGGGAACCGUUAUAAACUGGGGCAUGUAUGAGAAGUAGACAGUUAGCGGAACAGGGAAAAAAUAGCGAACUAACGCAAUUAGGAACCAGGAAAGAAGGGUCAGUAGGAGAGAAUGGACACUAGACGAGCUAGAGAACUCGGAAAAAAAUAUGGUAACUUGAAGUAGGAAAGUAUGGGAACUAGAAGAACUAUAAGACUCUGAGACUGGGCACUGGUUCCUCCAGAAUAAACAGCAUAGAUUUGCUUUAGAACAACAUGCAAGACUUCACUAAGAUGCUGGAUAAAUAGUGUAACGAGGCUAAUCACACAGCGGCGGAAGGUUAAAUAAUGAAAAUGAGUUUGAUUAGGAGAGAAACAGGAAGUAAUCUUGACAUGAACAAGUCAGGAAUGAGACGUUACUGAGGCUUGUCCUGCUGUGAUCGAGUUGAUAAACCUCAUGGAAGCUUCUAGAGUACUGAUUAUUAUAUAAAUGGCCUAUCCUAUGCAUCUGAUUUAUAUGGCUUAUAUCCUGUUUUAGAUCUGAAGGUUGAUUUGGAGGAAAUGGAGCAGCUUACAGCUCAGGAAGCUAUUAGCAAUGUGAAGUGGGCGGAGCAAGUGUUACACAGAAACAACUACCAAUGAUUUUCAGAGCUGAGAGGCCAAUUUGAUUAUGAUAAUGUGUCAGUAAAGCCAUGCUAAAUGUCAAAAUGAAGACGUGUCACUUCUCUGAGUCCUGAAUUAAACUCCUGAGUCAUACCGUCACCGAGAAGACAUCAUGACUGACAGUUAGCGCCUCCUCUCUCAUCCUUCAGGAAGAUUAAGUUCUCGAGCAGAGGUGUCCAUCCAUUUCCACUUCAAAGAGUUUCUGCUAAUGUGCUUUCAAAGGUCUUGUCUCUUUCCUGCUGUCCAAGCCUAUUACACCGCAGUGACACACGAAAAUGAGGCCAUGGAUCCUCCACGGGCACGAUUCUAUCCAAGGACUCACUCUCUUUGGAGUGAACAUGAGUGAAAGGAGGAAAGAAGAGAGAGCCAUGGAGGAACUCGAGUCCCAGUGAGGAUCGUUAAAACCCAAAUUUAGACCGAGCAAUGCUACUCGUCAUACGAAGUACGGCUCCGAAAAUAAACAGACCUGGAAGAACAUUUUUUCACACAGUUCCUUUCCUGUUCCUAUAUCAUGCACUCCUGCCUGUCAUUAGCAGAAUGAAAGAAGAAGAAUAAUGACUAGCUUUGUCUUUAAUCACAACGCUGACCCGGACGCUUGAUCUUCUCUUCCACGUACCUUUAAAAAUCGACACCGAUCACUUAGAGAUAAUGUGCGAAGUCAUUUAGUGCAAUAAAACACGUUCUGUACAGCCGUGGUGUUCCCACUCACCAUAAUUCACCAUCAUAACUUCUCAUUAAAAUGCAUGAUCCAGAAUUACCCCCUGAAACUCACCGACUCGCUCAACAAUUUGUCUUUGGGAGAAGCAUAACUGCAGGACAAGACCCAGAGCUUAUUUAAGCUGAUUCAGUCGACCACGCAGAGAGACCCGGAAAAGAGGAAAGGAUUUAAAAAUUAAUCAUGAAUGUCACAAAAACAUAUUAGUUCGAGCCAGAUGUGAUGAUAAGAGCUUUUCCGUGUAAAGUAGACACACGAGAAAAAAAAGGUGGGUGCCAAAACUUUUAUACAGAUACCAGGCCCAUUUGUGAAACAAACACUGCUGUUUAAAUCAAUGAAACAGUGAAAAAAUAGCGAUAGAGGUCAAUCUAAUGCUGGGCAUUUUAAUCUAUUUUAAUUACGAUUUAAAAUAUACCACCAUAAU